CCCCGUAUGUCCGAGAGUCAGAACCGUGUACUUGACCUCAGUACCGUCUCUCCCUAGUCAUAUAUCCCCUCCAGGGUGUCACUGUUAUCGCGGAUAUGCCCCAUGGUGUGUGAUUUCACCCUGGCAGACGAGGUGCAUGGUUCCUCCUUCCUACAGUGUGGACUUGGAAGCACCCAUGGCGUCCAGUCUAGAGUUCGGGUGUAGUUCGACGUCUGGUCUGUGAGCUCUAUAGAGCUGAGCUUCUGCGUCUGGUAGGCCUCUAGGGGUCUGGUAAUGGUCGUCUCCUCAUAAGCACCUGGGCUCCAGGG